rnacentral:tRNA from 1 species
CCGCAACCUGGUCGGCCGGCGCUACGUCGCGCUCACCGAGGGCGCGGGCAGCGGCACCCGGCUGCGGCCGGGCGGCACCAUCCCGCUGGCGCGGACC